rnacentral:rRNA from 1 species
ACGAACGCUGGCGGCAUGCCUAACACAUGCAAGUCGAACGAUCCCUUCGGGGAUAGUGGCGCACGGGUGCGUAACGCGUGGGAACCUGCCCUUAGGUUCGGAAUAACUCAGAGAAAUUUGAGCUAAUACCGGAUAAUGUCUUCGGACCAAAGAUUUAUCGCCUUUGGAUGGGCCCGCGUUGGAUUAGCUAGUUGGUGGGGUAAAGGCCUACCAAGGCGACGAUCCAUAGCUGGUCUGAGAGGAUGAUCAUCCACACUGGGACUGAGACACGGCCCAGACUCCUACGGGAGGCAGCAGUGGGGAAUAUUGGACAAUGGGCGAAAGCCUGAUCCAGCAAUGCCGCGUGAGUGAUGAAGGCCUUAGGGUUGUAAAGCUCUUUUACCCGGGAUGAUAAUGACAGUACCGGGAGAAUAAGCCCCGGCUAACUCCGUG